AGAGAGACCAACAGAUUUGCCCAGGCUAUUUCUCAAAGAGGAUUUACCUCUUCAGGCUCCCUUGAACCUGGGAUCCUGACAUAUAAGGCAGGCAGGCAGGCUCUACUGUACAGAGCUAAACAAGGAUAUGCGAAGAGCCAAGAUGUUAAAGUAAAAGGACUUAAUGCAAAUAGCUUUUUUUCCUCCCAUCCCAUCUGCCACAGACUCGGAACAAGAUGUGGUAAUAGAAGAACAUAGAAAGGUCAGAGGAUUUUGUGGGGGGUGGGGGUUUAAUGCUUCUGUAGUCAGAAUAGCUUGUGAAAUGGUCUCAGGGGUCAUAACUUAAGCAUGACACAUAAAAGGUGUACAACUGAGACAAACCAGUGAUCCAUCUGGACCAGGAUCCUGUCUCUGACAGUGAAUAGUAUUGGACACUUCCCAGGAAGGGGCAAAAGUGGACAAAUUACGAAGUUAUGAGUGUUUAGCUAGUGGACCACCUUUUUCCUUUUUUUAAGGAAAAAGUUAUUUUUGAAAACCACUAGUGAGAGAUUGGUCUCAAGCUCAGGAUCCCAGAAUUAAAAUAUAUAACAAAUACCUAUGUGCACUUUUUUAGGAAUUAAUUUUUUAACUCUGUAAGUGUUUAGUGAUUUGAAAAUAAGAGGAAACUUGAAAGCGCACUAUUACUUCUUUAGAAUUGCAGACAGAAGCAAAGUGCUGAAAAAGCUAUGUAGGGGCAUUUGUAAGUUCAUUCAUGGGGCUGAUCUAGACACCUGGGAUAAUGACAUUUGAAAUGCAAUGACAGCAAGUGGUGUGACUAGAAAUAUGCCAAGGAAAAGCACAUAAAGCCCCACCCCGUGCUGCAGGAUGAGCAGGGUUGUUCUGUGACAUCGUUACCAUGCUGUAAGUGCGCUGUAUGUCUAAGGCUAUAGUCUUGUUAGAACAUGAUCAAGGUCUCAGCCACACUGCAUAUUUUAAUCGUGCUGUAAUUGCACCAGGGGACAACUGUAGGAAAACCAGGUCCUAUGAUACAGGCAUUUUUGAGGUGGAGUCAGACAGAGCAAGAGGAUAUCCAGGAGUAGAAAAGACAGCGCAGUUGAAGUGCCUUAGGGGAAUAGACUCAUGUCUGCCAGAAAGUCAGAAUAAAAUGGGGCUUGGAUAAAAAUCCCAUUAUACAUUUGUCAGUGCAGCAGUUUAAUACGUUUACUUACAGGUAUAAAUUAAUUGAAACCUGCUGUGGUUAAAAAUCAAUCAAGCAGUACGGCUUGUUGUAGAAAGAAAAAAAUGCAUAUAUAUAUAUAUAUAUAUGCCCUAUAAUAACAGCAAAGAACUGGCGAGUCUUCUCCAAGUCAGUAUCAGGACCUUUUGACUUUCCUUACUACAGUAUUCCUUUGUAAAAACACAGGUUUCAGUAGCUGGCUAUUCCCUUAAAAGCAAUCUUUAUCAUUUUACCUUUACCCAAUAGGCUGUUCCUAAUAUACCAUGGUGCUGCUCUUCUCCACUAAGCUGUUUUUACGAAAAAACAUGCAGAAGGGAGUCAGAUCAAAUAACCUAACUGUGCUUAUAAAGGAAAACAGGGAGGAAAAAAGGGGGAAAAAACCAAAAAGGAUACAGAUAUAAGAAUUUAUAUCAUGUAGGCUAAGAAGGCCCUCCUUUGAAAACAGUGGAAAUUAAAUUCUUUAGACACUGGAUCAGGCCAGAUGUGCUUUGGUUAUAUGGUGCUAAGAACUUGACAGAUAUCUUUAUCCACUGUCAUCUCUGUUACCAGCUACUUAUUCAUUAACUGCUCUUCUUUAUGUAUGUAUUUGUCCUCACUCUACUAGCCAGAAGAUAAAUUAUUUAUCAAGCUGAGAUAAAAGUUAGAUGUCAGGGUUCAAGAAAAAUUCUAAAUAGAGCUAAUACAUGACCAAACUGCAGCCUUGAGAAUUAUCUACAAGUUCCAAAAUAUACAAGCCAUCAAGCAGGAAGGAGUUAACAGCAUCCAAUUUGUCUUUGUGCAGCUUUUCAGCUACCCAUACUGUCACCUACACAAAGUAAAUUCAAGUAGUAAUGCUAUUUUUUUAUGUUUAAUGUGCAAAAGUGCAAAUACAGGAUGCAGGAUGACAGAAUAUGUUGGCAGGAACAUCUGCAUUACUGUGAUCCAGAAGCAAAUGCUAACUUAGGAAGUUCAAGCUUCUUAGCAAGAAAGUACUCCAACAUGAGGCUCUUUUCUCACAUAGAAUAUAAUUUUUGCUCUUUCCCUAUGAGUCCAUUAUUGACCAUGGACUGAGAUGGAAUUCUGGGACAAACAAACCUCUUGAUCAACCUGAUAUUGCUGCUCUUGUGCUGAUACUAGAAACUGAAGUCACCUAGAAUUCUCAGAAGAGUCACCAGGGUUUUUCACACUUCCCAAGAAACAUCUGAGAUACAGUGAAACUCCAAAAGAUCUUGUCAUCAUGCCUUCACUUGUUCAGAUGCAGACCCAGCUGAAGAACAGAACUUAGAAAGGAAUUGCUACAGAGAAGUAAGCUACAUCCAAACAUCUUGGGAAGAAUCUCGCCUAAGACUGGAAGAAAGGGAUUGCUCCAAUCCUGAACUGCAUCCAAGCAGAGUCAGCUUUUGAACUCCUAAUCUGAAGGCAUUUCAGAACAGGUGUCUAAAUUUCACCCAAGGGUGUGUCAAAGCUGCUUCCUCAGCUGUCCAGGUCAAAGUGAGGUAGUCUCUUCCCAUACUGGACAAAAUUUUUAAAGAUUGUAUCAGAUAAACCACCCCAAAUUUCAGACUGUUUAUCCAAAGCUUGCCUGAAUGAGCCAGGUCUCUUUAGCUAGUAAAAAUGGGCUUGAAUCUCUUGCAACAGCACCCUUACUUGAAGGAGUCAGCCACUUCCAAAAGUUUUGCCCACUUCUGAACAGCGUAUGAGGGCAACCAUCUCAGAGGAAGAAAAGGAAGCAUGUGGGAGAACCUAGAAACCAAAAGCAUAUUCAACAUGGCAGGCAAUCAUGCUAUAUACCAGAAUCCUGUUCCAUUGCUGUGUAAGAUAAAAUGAGUUCCCAAAACUGAAGGGCAGAGGA